GUUCCACCAUAAAGUUUAAAUGGAUCUUACUUUGGUUCAGACUUUAGAAACGAUUGACAUCUGGGUUAUGUAUAUUUCACUUCCCACGUUCUGCACGGUAAUCUUCUAAACUUUAGCAACUUAUCUUAUUAAUUCCUUUAGGCUUGAUAUGAAGCCUGCCCCAGAUAAGUGCCUCAUAAAAGAAGAAUAAACAAAUGAAUGAAUAAAAGCAAAUGCCAUACUAUAGACUUUUGAGUAAAAAGAUUUUCUCUACAACAUAUUAAAAGAAUGAACCAGCAGAACAAACUUCAAACUUUAAAACAAUGUUGUUUAAGUUAGUCAUGUCUGAGAUGAUAAAUAAAUCAACAGGAGAAAAGUGAACUUCAAAACAUGUAUCUUUAGGAGGAUUUGAAUUGGAAAACCACUGACACUUAAUUGCUAAAGUGACUUUGACUAGUUAUUCAUCUAUGGAAUAGGAAGAAAACUUACUUGAUCGUGUUGGCAUGAUGAUUAAACAUGACUUAUGUACAUGCAAGUGCUGAGCACUAGUCUAUAACCUCUAUGGGCAUUGCGAUCACUAUGACAUAUCCAGAGACUAGCUCAAUUUCUAGUACAUUGGAGGCACUUGAUAAAUGUUUCCUUAAUUUGAAAUCUGAGAACAGGACAUUAAGUUCUUUCACAUUAGAUCCAGCAGUUGAGAUACAUUUUGCUUGUGCUGCAGUUUUCUAUUAUGGAUAUGUAAUGUGUCUAAUAAAGAAAUGAGAA
rnacentral:lncRNA from 10 species